rnacentral:rRNA from 1 species
CCUACGGGAGGCAGCAGUGGGGAAUAUUGGGCAAUGGGCGCAAGCCUGACCCAGCAACGCCGCGUGAAGGAAGAAGGCUUUCGGGUUGUAAACUUCUUUUACGAGGGAAGAGCAGAAGACGGUACCUCUUGAAUAAGCCACGGCCAAAUACGUGCAAGCAGCCGGGGUAAUAAGUAGGUGGCAAGCGUUGUCCGGAUUUACUGGGUGUAAAGGGCGUGUAGCCGGGCUGACAAGUCAGAGGUGAAAAUCCGGGGCUCAACCCCGGACCUGCAUUUGAAACUGUUGGUCUUGAGUAUCGGAGAGGCAGGCGGAAUUCCUAGUGUAGCGGUGAAAUGCGUAGAUAUUAGGAGGAACACCAGUGGCGAAGGCGGCCUGCUGGACGACAACUGACGGUGAGGCGCGAAAGCGUGGGGAGCAAACAGGAUUAGAUACCCGGGUAGUC